rnacentral:ncRNA from 1 species
GGGUACGCGACUGGCGAUAGGCGCGGCCGCCCCACCGGGUGGCUGCCGCUGACGUGGAAAACCAGCAGCGCAGCCACCGCUGUGGCCUGCCUGCUUAACCACUGGGAAGCGUACCGCCCGGGGCGACCGCUCCAGAGUGUUCGAGCCGUUCGCCUGGGCAGCCCU